UGAAGUUGACCUUGAUGGCUCCCUUGUCAC
rnacentral:piRNA from 2 species